CCUACGGGAGGCUGCAGUGAGGAAUAUUGGUCAAUGGACGAGAGUCUGAACCAGCCAAGUAGCGUGAAGGAUGACUGCCCUAUGGGUUGUAAACUUCUUUUAUAUGGGAAUAAAACAGGGUAUGCAUACCCUCUUGUAUGUACCAUAUGAAUAAGGAUCGGCUAACUCCGUGCCAGCAGCCGCGGUAAUACGGAGGAUCCGAGCGUUAUCCGGAUUUAUUGGGUUUAAAGGGAGCGUAGGUGGAUUGUUAAGUCAGUUGUGAAAGUUUGCGGCUCAACCGGAAAAUUGCAGUUGAAACUGGCAGUCUUGAGUACAGUAGAGGUAGGCGGAAUGCGCGGUGUAGCGGUGAAAUGCUUAGAUAUCACGCAGAACUCCGAUUGCGAAGGCAGCUCACUGGACUGCAACUGACGCUGAUGCUCGAAAGUGUGGGUAUCGAACAGGAUUAGAUACCCGUGUAGUC
rnacentral:rRNA from 1 species